GGUUCGAUGGUGUAGUUGGUUAUCACGUCAGUCUAACACUGUUAGCUCACUGAAGGUCUCCAGUUCAAGUCUGGGUCGAAUCA